rnacentral:lncRNA from 1 species
UGAGAGGUGGCGGCUGGCAGAUGGCAGGGCGUCUGCUGACUGCUCACUCCCUGCCCGCCCCGCCACUGGCCCUCCUCCAGCCUGUCCCCACUGGGUCCCUGCAGUCUCUUUCAGGACCCCUUCCUUGUUACCCCUUGAGAAAGGAGUCAUUUCUGUGGGUCCCAAGCCCCAGGCCCGAGGCCAGGCUGUUUCACAGGUGGGCUUGACACAUCGGAACGCUUCCCAAAUAUGGAACUGGGCCUUUUCCUUCUCCUUCACAAAUGGCUCUAGAGAUGACCAGAGAUCCAGUAAGGGUGACCCUCCCUGAAGUCUUGUGGAACCAGCGUAAGUCCCCCACAGGUAGAGUAGAGCUGCCCUGGAACUGAAGAGACCAUGAUAGCCAUGCCUGCCACCAGAGUGUGGAGAGGCACUGUGAGAGGAAUCGGCCUAAGACAGGCACCUGUGGGUCAGCCUCACCAGAGCAGAGCCAGCACCCCCCUGCCCCCCCCCCCCCCCC